GAGGACCUGGCGCUCCCGUCGUUUCAGGUUAUAGUGAUGACUGCAAACAUGGGGUGCGCUGAAUGCCGAACGGAAGUCUCUCAAGUUUUAUCUAAACUAACUAGACUGAGGGAGUACAUAGUGGAUGUGAGCAGUACACAAGAGAUUAUAAAGGCAGAUUUUGGGAUUCGUUGGGAAGUGAAAAAUGAUCUUUCUAAACCAGAAUGAGAGAGCAUUGCCAUCCACUUGA